AGGAAGAAGAAAAUGACAUGGUAAGAUUAACAUCUUAAUCAAUUUUCACUCUAUCCACCUGAACUCCAAGCAGACAAUAUGCUAAAAUCCUAUACUAAAAAUAGUUUAUACACAAAAUAGCAGCUGCCUAUGUACCAAUAUUUGUGUCUAGUGAAUGAAAUGGUGCAGCUGCUUGGCUUCUGGAAUGGUCAUAUUAAUUUGUUUUGGUUGUAGGGAGGGACUAUAGAUGGAUCAUCUCGUGCCUCAGCCAACAUGGACAGGGACAACAGCGAUGGCCAUUAAGUUGUGCGGUGCCAGGAAGUAUUUUGUGAAGCCAAAGUCUUUUGUUUAUCUACUAUGGCUAAUAGCAACGACCAGCAAGUUCGAAGGCCGUGCAUGUGUCAUGCUGGGUAUUUUGGUUGUGCGUGGGCUGCUGCAUAUUUAGAUUGUGAAGCAACAUAUGCAGAUUCCAUCGCGCUUCAAGACAUGUGUGCUAGUUGUGGAGUACCAGAUUGCUUAUUCCCUGCAGGCAUGCUUAUGCAGAAGUGGGUGCAUACUGCUAUCAAACUACAGCUUGCUACUUAUAGACUUCCUGGGUCAAGGAAGGUCAAUUUGUUGGCUAUCUUGUGCAGAAGUGGUUGUGUACUGCCAUGAGAUAGCAGCUAGCUAGCUGAAGUUGUGUUGGGAGAUAGAUAGCACCUAGUCGUGAGGUAGCACAAAACUUGUGCUGCCGGUUAGUUAUCUAACUAGAAGGCACUAAUUAUUAUAUAACUUUGUAUGAAUGAACAACUUGAAUGAUGUUCUAAGAUUAUAUAAUAUGUAUUACUUCAGUGUGGAUGAAUGCCUGUAUCAGUCCCUGUAAUAUUGUGUAUAAUCGCUAAUUACUUGCUAUGAACAGCGGUUAAAUAAUCAGUGAUUUUGUGUGUGUAAUUGACUGGAAAUAUUUCCCUGACGGAGGAAAACCGUCCGGAAUCUACAACCGUGACGGCAGACAAGCUGACGGGAAAGCCUAUUUCCAGGCCUG
rnacentral:lncRNA from 1 species